CAAACUUAGUGUGUGUGUGUGUGUGUGUGUGUGUGUGUAUAUAUAUAUAUAUAUAUAUACACAUACGCACACACACACAAGCCAG